rnacentral:rRNA from 1 species
UCGAUUCCCUUAGUAGCGGCGAGCGAAACGGGAAGAGCCCAAACCAACAAGCUUGCUUGUUGGGGUUGUAGGACACUCUAUACGGAGUUACAAAGGACGACAUUAGACGAAUCAUCUGGAAAGAUGAAUCAAAGAAGGUAAUAAUCCUGUAGUCGAAAAUGUUGUCUCUCUUGAGUGGAUCCUGAGUACGACGGAGCACGUGAAAUUCCGUCGGAAUCUGGGAGGACCAUCUCCUAAGGCUAAAUACUCUCUAGUGACCGAUAGUGAACCAGUACCGUGAGGGAAAGGUGAAAAGCACCCCGGAAGGGGAGUGAAAUAGAACCUGAAACCGUGUGCUUACAAGUAGUCAGAGCCCGUUAAUGGGUGAUGGCGUGCCUUUUGUAGAAUGAACCGGCGAGUUACGAUUUGAUGCAAGGUUAAGCAGUAAAUGUGGAGCCGUAGCGAAAGCGAGUCUGAAUAGGGCGUUUAGUAUUUGGUCGUAGACCCGAAACCAGGUGAUCUACCCUUGGUCAGGUUGAAGUUCAGGUAACACUGAAUGGAGGACCGAACCGACUUACGUUGAAAAGUGAGCGGAUGAACUGAGGGUAGCGGAGAAAUUCCAAUCGAACCUGGAGAUAGCUGGUUCUCUCCGAAAUAGCUUUAGGGCUAGCCUCAAGUGAUGAUUAUUGGAGGUAGAGCACUGUUUGGACGAGGGGCCCCUCUCGGGUUACCGAAUUCAGACAAACUCCGAAUGCCAAUUAAUUUAACUUGGGAGUCAGAACAUGGGUGAUAAGGUCCGUGUUCGAAAGGGAAACAGCCCAGACCACCAGCUAAGGUCCCAAAAUAUAUGUUAAGUGGAAAAGGAUGUGGCGUUGCCCAGACAACUAGGAUGUUGGCUUAGAAGCAGCCAUCAUUUAAAGAGUGCGUAAUAGCUCACUAGUCGAGUGACACUGCGCCGAAAAUGUACCGGGGCUAAACAUAUUACCGAAGCUGUGGAUUGUCCUUUGGACAAUGGUAGGAGAGCGUUCUAAGGGCGUUGAAGCAUGAUCGUAAGGACAUGUGGAGCGCUUAGAAGUGAGAAUGC